rnacentral:snoRNA from 1 species
AAGAAUCUACUUGACAGGAUAUGUUCUAUAGGAUCAUACUACUGUGUCCUUGAUUUCUAAGGAGACAGGAACAAAAAAAAAAGUGGAGAAUGAAGAAUAUUUU